rnacentral:rRNA from 1 species
UACGAAGGGGGCUAGCGUUACUCGGAAUGACUGGGCGUAAAGGGCGCGUAGGCGGUUUGCUUAGUUAGGCGUGAAAUUCCUGGGCUCAACCUGGGGGCUGCGUUUGAUACGUACGGGCUUGAGUUCGGAAGAGGGUCGUGGAAUUCCCAGUGUAGAGGUGAAAUUCGUAGAUAUUGGGAAGAACACCGGUGGCGAAGGCGGCGACCUGGUCCGAUACUGACGCUGAGGCGCGAAAGCGUGGGGAGCAAACAGG